rnacentral:rRNA from 1 species
AGCAGCCGCGGUAAUUCCAGCUCCAAUAGCGUAUAUUAAAGUUGUUGCAGUUAAAAAGCUCGUAGUUGAAUUUCGGGAUUGACACAUCGGUCGUGCCUUAAGGGGUAUGAACUGGUGUAGUCAAUUUCUCACCUUCUGGAGAACCGCGAUGCCCUUAAUUGGGUGUCGCGGGGAACCAGGACCUUUACUUUGAAAAAUUAGAGUGUUUAAAGCAGGCAUUUUGCUUGAAUACAUUAGCAUGGAAUAAUAAAAUAGGGCGGCAUGAUUCUAUUUUGUUGGUUUCUAGGAUCACCGUAAUGAUUAAUAGGGAUAGUUGGGGGCAUUAGUAUUCAAUUGUCAGAGGUGAAAUUCUUGGAUUUAUUGAAGACUAACUACUGCGAAAGCAUUUGCCAAGGAUGUUUUCAUUAAUCAAGAACGAAAGUUAGGGGAUCGAAGACGAUCAGAUACCGUCGUAGUCUUAACCAUAAACUAUGCCGACUAGGAUCAGACGAUGUUAAUUUUUAAUGUACUCGUUUGGCAC